rnacentral:rRNA from 1 species
GACGAACGCUGGCGGCGUGCCUAAUACAUGCAAGUUGAGCGAUGAAGAUUGGUGCUUGCACCAAUUUGAAGAGCAGCGAACGGGUGAGUAACGCGUGGGGAAUCUGCCUUUGAGCGGGGGACAACAUUUGGAAACGAAUGCUAAUACCGCAUAACAACUUUAAACAUAAGUUUUAAGUUUGAAAGAUGCAAUUGCAUCACUCAAGGAUGAUCCCGCGUUGUAUUAGCUAGUUGGUGAGGUAAAGGCUCACCAAGGCGAUGAUACAUAGCCGACCUGAGAGGGUGAUCGGCCACAUUGGGACUGAGACACGGCCCAAACUCCUACGGGAGGCAGCAGUAGGGAAUCUUCGGCAAUGGACGAAAGUCUGACCGAGCAACGCCGCGUGAGUGAAGAAGGGUUUCGGAUCGUAAAACUCUGUUGGUAGAGAAGAACGUUGGUGAGAGUGGAAAGCUCAUCAAGUGACGGUAACUACCCAGAAAGGGACGGCUAACUACGUG